AUUGAACGCUGGCGGCAGGCUUAACACAUGCAAGUCGAGCGAGCGGCGGACGGGUGAGUAAUGUCUGGGAAACUGCCUGAUGGAGGGGGAUAACUACUGGAAACGGUAGCUAAUACCGCAUACCAUCAGAUGUGCCCAGAUGGGAUUGGCUAGUUGGUGGGGUAAGGGCUCACCUAGGCGACGCUCCCUAGCUGGUAUGAGAGGACGACGCGCCAAACUGGAACUGAGACACGGUCCCGACUCCUACGGGGGGCAGCAGUGGGGAAUAUUGCACAAUGGGCGCAAGCCUGAUGCAGCCAUGCCGCGUGUGUGAAGAAGGCCUUCGGGUUGUAAAGCACGUUCAGCGAGGAGGCGUUACUCGCAGAAGAAGCACCGGCUAACUCCGUGCCAGCAGCCGCGGUAAUUC
rnacentral:rRNA from 1 species